rnacentral:rRNA from 1 species
CCUACGGGAGGCAGCAGUGGGGAAUAUUGCACAAUGGGCGAAAGCCUGAUGCAGCGACGCCGCGUGAGCGAUGAAGGACUUCGGGUCGUAAAGCUCUGUCAGCAAGGAAGAAAAUGACGGUACCUGACGAGGAAGCCCCGGCUAACUACGUGCCAGCAGCCGCGGUAAUACGUAGGGGGCUAGCGUUAUCCGGAUUUACUGGGUGUAAAGGGUGCGUAGGCGGCAUUGCAAGUCAGAUGUGAAAGCCUUGGGCUCAACCCGGGGAAAGCAUUUGAAACUGGGGAGCUGGAGUGCGGGAGAGGAGAGUGGAAUUCCUAGUGUAGCGGUGAAAUGCGUAGAUAUUAGGAGGAACACCAGUGGCGAAGGCGGCUUGCUGGACUAUAACUGACGCUGAGGCACGAAAGCGUGGGGAGCAAACAGGAUUAGAUACCCGAGUAGUC